AUUCUACUCCCUCCAUUGCAAAAUACAUGCCUUCUAUUUGUCAAAAUAUAUAUGUAUCUAGACAUGUUUUAGUAUAUAGGCACAUCCAUUUUUGGACAAAUGGAAGUCAAGUAUUUUGGAACGGAGGGAGUACACA
rnacentral:pre_miRNA from 1 species